AUGAUUUCUUUGGCAAUACACAUAGUAGAAUACAAAUAAGCCAGGGGACUAUAUAUCAACUCCCUUGCUCUUAAAACAAAACAAUAAAACUUAUCAUUUCCUCUCUUCAGAGCAUUCUCCUCCUCUCCUUCUCGGGUGCCCUGUGUGGCUUCCAACGAAUCCUGCACCACCACCGCCAAAGCCAACGCAAGUGUUAUUUAGAUAGCAGAAAAACAAUGUGCAAUACAAUUAUAUAGACAUCUCUAGCAAAAUAUUGAUUGCACAUGUAGAUGGAGACUAAAACGAAGAAGGCAUUAAGAAUCAAGAUGGAGUAGAUCUGGUCAUAAUAUCAGCUAGGAGUCUAAAAUGAAGUACCAGUCAUGACAUAGUUAAGUUUCAGUUCAAAUAUCAUGUAAAAACUUUUCAGCUUAACUUAAAUAAAAAUAUACUGAGACUCCACCAUGUGACUUCCACGUAGAAGGUUCUCAUAUAGAUGGACAACGAGAAAAAUUACGACAGGUUAGACCAAAAAACAGGAAACAUUUUCCUGUCAAAGGCUCCACCUUGUGACUUCCACUUAGAAGGUUCUCAUAUAGAUGGACUGAUGAGACAAAAUUACGACAUGUUAGACCAAAAAACGGGAAACAUUUUCCUGUCAAAGUAAUUCAAAAUUAAAGAUGGGAAAAUCACAGUCUCUCGUUUUGCCAAAAUUACUGUGUCGACCUGAUUGUUUUUUAGAGGCCCAAAUUUGCUUGAUUCUAAAUAGAUGACACGGUAAACUGACUAUAAAAGUCGUCAGUUCAUACCACAACCCAGUGACUAACAAUUAAUAUAUCUCUAUAUGCAAUAUGAUUUCAGAGUGAAACAUACCAUUAUUUGCUAUUGGACCAACCAAAUGUGGUUUCAACUCCACAUGAGAAAAACAAUGUAGGCACUGAACAUACAUCCAAGCAUACAAAACAAAAAAUUCAAGCAAGAAUUAGACAGGGCAUCUAAGGCCACGAUAGCAUUCACUCACCCUGGUAUGUAGCAUCGGUGGAGCGAAAUGUGUCAAUGCCACGAUAACAUCCACAUGUCCACCUUCAUGCCUCCCUGACUCCUCCUGCCGACCACGCGCCUCUGCCAUGGCGUGUCCCCACAUUCCCAGCCACGCCUUCUCAAGUACUCCCAAGAAGAUAACGGCAAUAACAGACUGUGCCAACAUUAUAAACUUAAUAUUAGUAAUUAUUGGACAUA
rnacentral:lncRNA from 1 species